rnacentral:rRNA from 1 species
UACGUAGGGGGCGAGCGUUGUCCGGAAUUACUGGGCGUAAAGAGCGCGUAGGCGGCGCGGUACGACCGCUGUGAAAGCCCCCAGCUCAACUGGGGAGGGUCAGCGGUAACGGCCGUGCUAUGAGUGCAGGAGAGGGAAGUGGAACUCCGGGAGUAGCGGUGAAAUGCGUAGAGACCCGGAGGAACACCAGUGGCGAAGGCGGCUUCCUGGUCUGCGACUGACGCUGUGGCGCGAAAGCUAGGGGAGCAAACGGG